AUUGAACGCUGGCGGCAUGCCUUACACAUGCAAGUCGAACGGCAGCACGGGUGCUUGCACCUGGUGGCGAGUGGCGAACGGGUGAGUAAUACAUCGGAACAUGUCCUGUAGUGGGGGAUAGCCCGGCGAAAGCCGGAUUAAUACCGCAUACGAUCCACGGAUGAAAGCGGGGGACCUUCGGGCCUCGCGCUAUAGGGUUGGCCGAUGGCUGAUUAGCUAGUUGGUGGGGUAAAGGCCUACCAAGGCGACGAUCGGUAGCUGGUCUGAGAGGACGACCAGCCACACUGGGACUGAGACACGGCCCAGACUCCUACGGGAGGCAGCAGUGGGGAAUUUUGGACAAUGGGCGAAAGCCUGAUCCAGCAAUGCCGCGUGUGUGAAGAAGGCCUUCGGGUUGUAAAGCACUUUUGUCCGGAAAGAAAUCCUUGGCUCUAAUACAGUCGGGGGAUGACGGUACCGGAAGAAUAAGCACCGGCUAACUACGUG
rnacentral:rRNA from 1 species